rnacentral:rRNA from 1 species
AUAAGCGUACACGGUGGAUGCCCUGGCAGUCAGAGGCGAUGAAGGGCGUGCUAAUCUGCGAUAAGCGCCGGUAAGGUGAUAUGAACCGUUAUAACCGGCGAUACCCGAAUGGGGAAACCCAGUGUGAUUCGUCACACUAUCAUUAACUGAAUCCAUAGGUUAAUGAGGCGAACCGGGGGAACUGAAACAUCUAAGUACCCCGAGGAAAAGAAAUCAACCGAGAUUCCCCCAGUAGCGGCGAGCGAACGGGGAGGA